rnacentral:rRNA from 1 species
AUUGAACGCUGGCGGCAUGCCUUACACAUGCAAGUCGAACGGUAACGGGCCUUCGGGUGCCGACGAGUGGCGAACGGGUGCGUAAUACAUCGGAACGUGCCCGAUCGUGGGGGAUAACGAGGCGAAAGCUUUGCUAAUACCGCAUACGAUCUACGGAUGAAAGCAGGGGACCGCAAGGCCUUGCGCGGACGGAGCGGCCGAUGGCAGAUUAGGUAGUUGGUGGGAUAAAAGCUUACCAAGCCGACGAUCUGUAGCUGGUCUGAGAGGAUGAUCAGCCACACUGGGACUGAGACACGGCCCAGACUCCUACGGGAGGCAGCAGUGGGGAAUUUUGGACAAUGGGCGCAAGCCUGAUCCAGCCAUGCCGCGUGCAGGAUGAAGGCCUUCGGGUUGUAAAAUGCUUUUGUACGGAACGAAAAGCCUUCUUUUAAUACAGGAGGGUCAUGACGGUACCGUAAGAAUAAGCACCGGCUAACUACGUG